UUUACUUGGCAAUGCUGCAGAGGGGUUUGUAUUAAUACGAAUAUUAGUCCUCUGAAUUGUGGUCGCUGUGGAAACCGAUGCCCAUUUAGGGUUCCAUGCUCGUUUGGGAUGUGUGGAUAUGCACAGCCUCCACCACGCCCUCCUCGUCCAUUCCCUCCUCACCCACCGCGACCAUUCCCUCCUCACCCGCCGCGACCGAUCCCUCCUCAUCCACCACGACCAUUCCCUCCUCCUCAUCCUCAUCGCCCUCAGCCAACACCAUGCCCUCCUACGCAGCCAGGGCCACCACCCAGGACUUGCCCUCGAGGUUUGCCUCCGCCCCUAAAAGGUGAUCAUUCACCAUCAAGGAGUUGAAGUUGUUGAACAGUAUCCAGUUAAAGAUUCUACUUAUAUCUGCACUAUCUGCUUGCUUUCUUCACAAAAGGGAAACUAAAAUAAAUGCCUUGUAUACGUUACCAUAGAACUCCCCAGUUGUUUGCAUUUUCCUGAAAUUUUUAUUAAGAAAACUGUUUGGUGUUUUAAAUCAUUGUCAAAACUCAAUAAAUAAUUGUUCUUCCAUA
rnacentral:lncRNA from 1 species